UUUCCACGACGCAUCCCACACAUGCUCUGCCUAGGGUUCCAUCCCGCCGCCGCCGUCAAGCUGGCUCCUCGGUGUUCGGUCAUUACGCUGGUUCAGAUCAUCAUCCUCCGCCACUUGCAACGCGCACGGCAAGGCGAAGGAACAAGCAGAGGGCGAAGAAGUGUCGGCACACGACGGCGACCUUGGCAGGCACGGGCACCGCGCGGGGAAGGUUCGACGCCCUACACAAGUCGGGCCACGCCCGGAGCGAGCGCCGCACCAACGCCUCCAUCAACAAGACGCGGCAUCUCCAUGAGUGUGCGGGGCUAGGGUUUCGGGCGCGGCGUCGCCUUGGUCGCCGACGCGACUCCUCUCAGUCUUUUACCGCGGCUCCGUCUCCUGGAUGGCACUCCUGUGGGCAUGGGUGCACGCGCGCGUCGGCUUCCUCCUCUCUAUCAUGGAUAUGUGGAGAGGCUAUUUACAAUGUUGUUCAAGGCAGAUAGUAGAUUAUAUGGUUAAGCAUCUCACUUAUAUUGGGGCUCGACCUGGCCCGGGUAUGAACACCCAUUAGAUAGGAUCAAGACUCCACUGCUCUGGCACUUCACUGGCCACCCUGCCAGCUCUAGCGAGGUAUGUUCUGCUCUCCCUCCUUCCUCUCCUUUCAGUUCCUGUCCACUCCCCUCCUCUACUCUUUCUUUUUUGUAUGCACGAUGUUGUUAGGUGUCAACUGAGGGGAAAAUACGAUGGAUAGUAAGGAGAAAGUGGGAGAUUGGGAGGAAAUUGCUAAA